rnacentral:tRNA from 1 species
GGCGGAGCUGGUCGAGGGCGAGACGACCCGCACUGUCGCUCCGGCCGACCUCGCGAUCGGCGACAUCGUCGUCGUUCGACCCGGCGGUCGCGUUCCC